UUUCUUCUUUGGUUUUUUCUCUUUCUUAUGCUUUUUCACAGACUUCUUCUUCCAAGUAGAUUUUCUCUUAGAAGUAGAAGCCAACUCAGCAGCGAGAACAGUGCCCCUUCAACCUUUCAAGGCCUCUUCAGCAAUUACCAACAUAUUUAACAAUUCAGUCUUUGUGCAUUCAAUCUUAUUCAUAUGGUAGUUUACUAUAAACUGCCCAAAUGGAUCAGAAAGGGAUUGCAAGAUCAAAUCCACUUGUCGUUCUUUAUGCAUGGUCAUGCCGAGCUUCUCAAGCUCCUCUAGGUCCUUGAUCAUAGUCAAACAAUGAUCAUGGACAGACUACCCUUCGCGCAUCUUCGCUUUGAAGAGCCUCUUGGACACUUCAAA
rnacentral:lncRNA from 1 species